AGCAAUCAAGGGGACCUGUUGUUUAUUCUCCAGGUCUCCUGCUGCAGCAUGGGCUGCUAGUCAAUUUCUAUUGAUUGGGGAAGGCCAAGACCUCUGUUUCCUAAGAGGGAGGGAGAGGACUGGGGACACUGAUAAUAUUUAUUUCGUGAACGUGGAAAUGUGAAUUACUAACUGCUGUCUGAGACAGGAUUUGCUCUUUUGGAAGUCUAAUAUGAGUCUGGGAGGGCUCAGAAGUUUCUUCCUUGCAAGAUGGAUUCUCCUGCAGUCUUGUUCUGGAUUUCAAAGGUCUGUGAAAAAGGAAACAGAUGACCCUCUGCUUGUAGCGUUGAGCACGGGAGCGUUUAAGAAUACAAGGAAACACAGUUUAUUCCUGUUUGGGAAGGGAGACACUGAUCACGAAGCUGGUUCCCACUGGCGGAGUGUGAUCACGGCGGCUGUGCAGACUCCGGAGACUUCACAGAUAUGAGAUACUCUGGGAUCCAAAAUAUUAUUGCCUGGCUUUUGUAGUUCGGAGAAGUCUUUCUUUUGUAAAUGACGGACUAGAGCUUGCAUGAAGAGAAUGAUGUAUAUUCGGAGUGUUCGGAAUCUGAAGAUGCGAACACAAGGGGAGGAAAUGCAGCCUUGACUGAGGAUGGCUGGAAUGGGAAAAACCUGACACCUGCUAUAACUGGCCAUUCACAGGAAGUGCCUGCAGAGGAAGGACCCGGGAGGGAACGGGAGCACCCCACUUCAACCUGGACCUAAUCGGAAAGAUGCUCUUCUUGCUAAAGGGACCGGGUGUGGUCCCUCUCCCUUCCUCAGAGUCAUCAUGGUACUGGGACCAAGCUGACAAGCAGGAGGAAUUCUGAUCAUGAGAAAGAGUUGGUUCAGGCCAUGGAGCAGACCUGGGGCAUCCAGCCAAAGGCAAGAGCGGGCAUUCCCAGCAUGUCCGAGUGCCACAGCAUCCGCAGGGAUAUCAAGGGACAUCUGGUUCACAAAGGAAACUCUUCAGGUGUGUAAUCAAGGAGCAAGAACUUUCUGCAAAUAGAUCUAAGGACUGCAGUACAAGAAAGCCAUGUCCCGGUGUGGACGGACUGCAGGCAGGAACAAAGAGAGGCACUUGAUGUGGCUCGGCAGUGCCCAACUGACAUUUGAAGAGGGAUCCCGAUGGAAGAGAUGAGAACAGAGGUUAUUCUGUAACACUGGACAAGGGUUAAUUACUUCCUAGGCAGUUCCGGCCCUGGGCGAAGAGAGUGCAAGUCCACAGUGUGAACGGACUCCUAACCACCUCCGCCCCUCCCUGCUGUCACCUCACAGUCAGGGCCAGUCCACCAGUCCUGCCCCUUCCAGUCCUCAGGUAACUUUAUAAGGAUGGUAUCUGCUUCAAGAGGUGUCCCCGACUUUUAUUCUUAAGGAUAAUAGUGUUAAUAUGUAUCAAGCCUCUUCCAAAUAGGUGCUAUCCAGGGCCCUUUUGUGAAUACACUGAUUAGCCUGAACACCCCUUUGCAAUAGCAUUCUCACUUAAUAGUGUGCGGGCUCACUCAGUCAUGUCCGACUCUGUGAUCCCACAGACUAUGCAGCCCACCAGGCUCCUCUGUGGGAUUAUCCAGGCAAGAAUACCCUAGUGGGCUGCCAUUUCUUUCUCAAUGGGAUCUUCCUGACCCAGGGAUCCCACCCAAGUCUCUUGCGUGUCCUGCAUUGGCAGGCGGGUUCUUUACCUCUGUGCCACGUGGGAAGCCCUCACUUAGAGUACAACUAAGAACCUCAAGGCACAGGGAUACUAAGACUGCACUGGGAUGGAAUCUGGAUAGCUGACUCUAGACCCCCUGCUUCUCUUUCUAAAACGGUGGGGAAGCUUUAGUGAAAUCCAUUUCACCUGUAACCUACCUUCACUGAUCAAGGCUGUUGUAAUCGUCACUACUGAAGACAUGCAUGUCCUCCAAGAAGCACGUGGCCUAAAUAAGAAGUUUGCCUGAGUUGUUUUUUGGGAACUUGGAAUCAGCUGUGUCUAGUUCCAGCUGAGCUGAUUAAGCCUGGAUGGGACCACUGGCCCUUCAACCAGGCAUGCUCGAGGGUCCCGGCAGUGCCCUUUUGAAGGCGCAGAGCCUGUAGCCUGGUUACGCCUGCUCAGAGCCACGAUUACCGCAGCGUUUCCUUAUCCUCUCCCCCCAACCCCUCUCGCAGCUCAGAUGCCCCGCUUCUUUCUCCCAUAAAUACCUUGAACCCCUGCCUUCAGGGUUUGAGAUUUGUUCUUCAGCCUCCUCACUUGGCUGCCUUGUGAAUAAACUCUCUCUCUGCUGUAAACUUUGGCAUCUGAGCAUUUUGGCUGCAAAGCUAGGGCAGAGGGAACCUGGUUCGGUAACAAAUACGGCACACCAGCCAGGAGAUAAAUCCAGACGGACCUGCUGCCCAUGGUUGGUCAGCCUGUUGCCGGUCAGCCUGUGGGUGAGUCCAAACAGCCCCCUUGUCCGUCUGUUCCAGGGAGGAUUCCCUGGGUUUCCUGGCAAGGCGCAGCCAACAUUCAGUGCUUAGUUUUGUAGCAAGGAGGUGAUUUGGGGUUGGAAGACGUCUUGGGGUGAGAAGACGUCUUUUGGAUGAGUAACCCUGUUCAAGAAAUUCACUUGAACCUGGACUGAUUGGCAGUUCUGACCUCCAUACCUGAGUUAGAAGCCCGGGGCCCAUCUGGGCUUUGGUUUCAUUUUGGUCUUGUCCAUGUCCAUCUGUAUCUGAUUAAGUUAAUGACUGGCAAUUGGGGAUUCAACUUAUUGGUGACAGUAACAGGGACCCUUGGAAAAAUUUCUUUGCUGCAACCACCUGGAAGUUUAGUCCAUUCAAAAGGGGGAAAAUUUGAUUCAGUUCCCCCUGGAAACCCUGGAACGUGAUUUACUACAUCCCUGCUGUCACCUGAUAAUACUUCAGUUUUACUGUCUGGACACCAGGCACAGAUGAAUAUCAAUUUAUGCACACCUUAAGGGAUAGUAAUCAAACUGUAGAAGAUAUUCAUCCAGGAGUCCCUAACUCAUACACUCUGCUCACUACAUUUUCUGGAGAUUUGUGUUGGCUUACUGCAUUAGACUUGGAUUCCCUUUUUUUGUAUACCCAUGAGUUUUGAAUCCUUAGAAUCUUUAGAUUUGAAUAGUAAGAUCCAGAUACAGAAGUUCAGCAAGAAUACUGCUGGAUAGUAGUCCCACAGGGAUUUUUAAAAUACUCCCACGAUAUUUGGAGAAAUCCUGGCAAAAGAUUUGAGGGACCCUCAGCUAAUCGAGGCAGCCUUGAUCCAGCUUGUGGAUGAUAUUCUGAUUGCUAGUAAGACAAAGGGCACCUCAGACCAGAACACAGUUUUGACCUUGAACUUUUUGGUUGAACGAGGCUAUAAGGUGUUCAAGAAAAAGUCAUACUUUUCUGCCCUCUGCUAAAUAUUUGGGUUUUGAACUCUCACAGGUACAAACUUGCUCUUUGACAGAGGAAGCUCUAGCCAAGAUUGCCAUUCUUACUACCAAGAGAACCGCAGGGGGACUUCCCUGGCUGUCAAGUGGUUGAAACUCUGAACUUCCACUAUAGGUGGCAUGAGUUCAAUCCCUGGUGGGGGAAUUAAGGUCCCACAUGCCAUGCAGCACAGUCAAUACAUAAAUAAAUAAAUAAACUUCAGGGAUUCCUAGGGAUAGCCAGGUUCUGCCUCAUCUGGAUCCCUAAUUUUGGACUCAUUGCAAAACCCUUUUAGGAAGCUCUUUUAAAUGAGGUUUCCCUGGUGGCUCAGAUGGUAAAGAAUCUGCCUGCAGUGCAGGAGACCCAGGUUCAACCCCUUUGUCGGGAAGAUCCCCUGGAGAAGGGAAUGGCAACCCACUCCAGAAAUCUUGCCUGGAGAAUCCCAUGGACAGAGGAGCCUGGUGGGCUACAGUCCAUGGGGUCACAAAGAGUUGGACAUGACUGAGUGACUAACACUUUCACUCUAAAGGAGGAGACAUGAAUCUCUAGACUCAACUAGGGAAAUGCUAUAGUGCAUUCCAGGUUAUCAAAGAAAAAACUAACAGACCUGGCUUUAGGUCCUCCAGAUAUCAGAAAGCCCUUUGACUUAUUUGUUCAUGAGAGACAAGGAAUCAGCCUUGGAGUCCUGACUUGGAACCUGGGUAGCAUAAGGAGCCUGCUGAGUAUUUAUUAAGGCAAUUAGAUACAGUUACUAAGGGAUGGCCAUUUUUUCUUUGGGCUGUAGCAGUGACCUGUGAUCUUUUACCAGAAGUGGAGAAAUUUAUAUUAGGACAACCUGCCACAGUGCAUACCCCUCACUGUUUAUUUCUCCUCCUAGAACAGAGGGGGAGGAUAUUGGUUAACUUCAGGAAGAUGUGCAAAGUAUCAGACUAUAUUUUUGGAUAAUCCUAAUGUUACUCUGAAAGCAGCCUCCAUCUUGCAUCCUGCCACUCUGCUCCCAAACAAUACUGAAGAGCUUAUGCAUGAUUGUAUUCAGAUAAUUGAACCAGUCUAUUCCAGCCAUCCCGACCUGAUGGACCAGCCACUGGAGAACCCAGACCUUGAGAUGUUCACAGAUGGAGUCAGCUUUAUGGACCAGGAAGAAUGCAAAGCUGGGUAUGUGGUGGUAACUCACCAAACUACCCUGGAAGCAGAAGCCCUUCCCCCAGGAAUCUCUGCACAAAAGGGAGAACUAACAGCCCUGAUGAGAGCCCUCCAUCUAUGUAAGGAUAAGAGAGUAACUGUUUUCACUGAUUCUAAAGUAUGCUUUCUUGGUGGUCUAUGCUUAUAGGGCCAUUUGGAGAGAGGACUGUUAAUUGCAGGGAAUAAGGAACUUAACCCUGCUGAAGAAAUUUUAACCUUAUUAGAAACUGUCAUGGAGCCAAAAGAAUGAAUGUCCACUAUUCAGGACAUCAGAAAGCAGAUUGUGUGACUGCUGGAAGGAAUAAUCUAGCAGAUCAAACAGCAAAGCCAGCAGCCAGGAACACCUAGGUCCCCAGAGUUGGCUCUGGUCGCCGAUGUAGAUCAGGUAAGAUGCUAUCUAAUUUCCUGAAGGUUUAAGGCCAACGAAUGGGGAUCUGAUUGGAGUCCUAGUCAUUCUCAGGAUGCUGACUCUAGGAAGGCUGGGUUUACAAUGGUUCAGGUCCUUGUACCUGAACACCUUGCAGAAGGUGUAACAUGAUGUACAUCCGAGUACCCACUGUGGAAGACACAGCACCCUCUAGUGGAUUCGCUAACUUAAUACAGGACCAAACAUGCAAAGGACAAUUCAAAAGCUGAUACAGAAAUGCAAGGUGUGUGCUAAAAAUAUUCCUAAAACUGGGACACUGCCUUUAAUCAAAGGAGUUCAGACCCCAGGUACUGGACUGGGAGACAAUUAGUGACUUCACUGUGAUGCCAAUAGUCACUGGAAACCUUAGGCCCUUAUUAGUCAUUUGUGAACACUUUUACUGGUUAGAUAGAAGCAUUUCCUUGCUGGCCUGAAAAAGCAUGAGGUUGUUAGAGCUCUCCUAAAAGAAAUAAUUCCUAGGUUUGGGUUACUUAUGUCCAUUUUGAGUGACAAUAAAGGGGCCUUUAUAGCAAGAAUAUUUCAAGAAGUAUCUGGAGCUUUAAACCUUCUUUGGAAAUUACAUGCUUCUUGACAACCCCAAUCUACUGGCAAAAUGGAAGAGGAAUCACAGUCUUAAAAAGACUAUGGCUAAAAUUUGUCAGGAGAUUACUUUAACCUGGGAUAAAACCUCACUGGUUGCCCUACUUCCAGUUGAAAAUAGCCCUUAGAAGUGAAAGUUGCUCAAUCGUGUCUGACUCUCUGCGACCCCCAUGGAUUAUACAGUCCAUGGAAUCCUCCAGGCCAGAAUACUGGACUGGGUAGCCCGUUCCCUUCUCCAGGGGAUCUUCCCAACCCAGGGGUUGAACCCAGGUCUCCCACAUUGCAGGUGGAUUCUUUACCAGCUGAACCACGAGAGAAGCCCAGGCCUUAGAAGCAGGUGCCAGUUGAGAAGCUAUGAGAUGUUGUUCUAGAGACCUUCCCGUUGUUUCAGAAAUAGUUUGCGAUCCAGAAGGAAUUCAAUUAAGGAACGUAGAUACUGUCAGGUAUGUAGGAUCGUUGGAAGCUACUUUCACUGCUCUACGUACGUUUACUUCUAGCAGAUUAGUGUUUCCCACAGAUGUUCGCUUGUGCCACUGCUGUCCUGGAGACUGGAUCCUGUGGGAAUCUUGGGAGAAUAAACAUCCAGAAGACAAGCCCAAGCGCUGGCCCUGAUUGCUCAUGUGCAUCUCAUAAAAUGCUAUACAAAGUAUUUUCCUGAAGACUUAAGGCCAAUGAAUGGGGAUCAGAGUGGAGUCCUAAUCAUUCUCAGAAUGUUGACUCUAGGAAGUGUGGGUCUGUAAUGGACAUGGCAAGGUCCUUGAACCUGAACAACUUAUGGAAGGUGUUAUUAUUUUUAGCACAUACCAUGCAUUUCUGUGGUAUCACCUAGCUGGACUGGACCUUAUGAGGUGAUACUCAUAACUCAUUUCCCUGGUGAAGUUGAAGGGAAUUUAGCCAUGGAUCCAUCACACUGGAGUUAAGAUGGUCCCACAGAGAUCAAAGGAGCCACCACAUCCUGCCUACAGGAAUGCACUACGUUCUGACCAAUGGGAUGAGAGCGGAAGAGAUGUUUGCAACUUCUUCACUAUGUCUUUAAAGGGUAGGAUAUUCUUCUUCCCUUCAUUCCUUUACUGUAUUGCUUGGAACGCAGGUGUGGUGGCAAGCUAUCUUGAGCUAUGCACAUGAGGGCAUGGGGAUGACACUCUAAGGAUGGCAGAGUUAACAAGACAUAAGAAGCCUUGGCGCCUGGACAACCUAGUACACAACGCUGCCAUACCAGCCAAGAAGUGCUUGCUUCCAGAUUCUGACUCAGGUCUGUCUGAUUUUAAGGUCACACUCUUUCAUUUAUGUCUCAUAACAGAAGGAGAAGAGGGCGACAGAGGAUGAGAUGGUUGGAUGGUAUCACCAACUCAAUGGACAUGAAUUUGGGCAAACUCUGGGAGAUGGGGAGGGACAGAGAGGCCUGGUGUGGUGCAGUCCAUGGGGUUGCAAAGAGUCAGACACCACUUGGCAACUGAACAACAACAGCAUAGCCUUCUACAGUAAGUCUCUGUAUAUAUGAACCUCCAGGUUGCAAACUUUCAAAGACAUGCGUGACAGCCCGUGUAUACCAGCUGUCAUACUGUACUACUGUACUUUUCAAGGCACUGUCCUUAAGAUUUAAAGUGUUUUUUGUGUCUGUUUUUUAUGUAUCUAUUAUUUGUGUGAAAAAUACUAUAAACCUAUUACAGUACAGCACUAUAUAGCUGAUUAUGUUGGGAACCUAGGCUAACUUGGGAUUCACAAACAAACUGGAUUUAUGAAUGUGUUCUUGCAACCAAAUUCGUUCGUAUGUACGGGACUUACUGUACCUCAGUUAGAGUUGCCCAAAGUAGACUGGCUUAUGUGGAAUGAGUUCUUUGUAUUUGGAACUGCUCAAGGAUGUCAUAGCAGGGAUUCAUUCCUGGGUAGAUAGGCAGUUGGAGGAGAGAGGCUAUAAUAUACAAUUCAAGGGUAAGAGUCUAUGAUUAAAAGAAAACAGAAUCUUUGCUUCUUUUUUUGGCUGCACUGCACAGCUUGCAGGGUCUCAAAUUCCUGCAGUUAAACUCAACAACCAUGUUUUAAGCACUUACUGUAUGCAAAGAAAGUGAUAUCAGAAAUACAAAAUAACCAGAGAUGGUAUUAAUACUUGUCCUAGAGGAACUUAACAAAAACAAGCAGGAGGUGGGGGUGUGUAAAAAAACAGAAUAUCUUAUACCCCAAAAGUUUCCAUUUUUUCUGUUUCAUUUUGGAAGUGGAAAAUUAGAAAGCAAAGGUUCUAGGGAGUUCGCUGGCAGGUCCAGUGAUUAGGACUCGAGGCUUUCAACAGUGGCACUAGCUGCCAUUCCCCACCAUCAUCCAUGGCAAAUGUUAAUGGACCACAGUACACCUGCUCCAGCGGUGGAUUCCCAAUCCUCUGUUCAAAGAUUUAAUGGAUUCUCUUAACAGCCCUUAUUAGUCAGCUGGAGUCAGCAUGGAGUCAAGAUGACAUCUGUUUUACAUUUGCUGGCAGUGACGCCUGGCAUUAUACAGAAAUCCACAUUAUUUUAGCGCUCAGUCAGUACCUUGUGCCUGUCUAGUUUAGCCAAGAGCUCCAAGUCAGUCCUGUCUGACACUCCACCAUGAAGAAUCAGGACUUUCUCAUCAACCAGAGUGGCCAGUGGAAGCCAGCAGAACACAUCUUGCAGUAGUUUUAGUAUUCUCUUGCCGUGGAUCUGAAAACACGAUACUAAGUUUUAAAAAAUUCACUUGAUUUAUCUGCACUGAGAGAAACUUUUGCUUUUAAGAGCUGCAUACCUUAUAUUUAUGCAUCACUUCCUUGGUAAAACCAUAUCUAGAGUUAGAAGCAGAAACAGAUAUUAAAUUUAGUGAUAUUAAGUAUGGCACAACUGCAUUUUUAUCAAAAUGCAUAUUGUAUAUGUAUACCUAUGGCUGACUCAUGUUGAUGUAUAGCAGGAACCAACAAAACACAGUAAAGCAAUUAUCCUCCAAUCAAAAAUAAAUUAAUUAAAAAUAUAUAUAUAGAAAAAACAUUGCAAAAUAAUUGCCAACUAUUUAAAAUUAUAUUAUCUGUGGGUAGAAAUAUGGGAUACUUUAAUUUUCUUUUGCUUAUCUAUAUUUUGUACUUUUUCUAUAGUGAACCCUUACGGUCUGUAUGAUUAAAGUGUUUGGCCAUGUGAAAACAAAUGUAAUAGUUUUACUAGAAUAGUAGGAUAAUGUGUAAACUUUUAAGAAUAUCUUUUAAAAUGGUAUAUAUUGUGUAUUCCACUUUAUAAACUUGAAGACUGCUUUUAAAAUGCAUCUAACAAAUAAGACGCUCUGGAAAAAUAACUUCACAGCUGCAACCAGUAAAGACCAAAUCCCCCAGCAUGUUUUGGUCUGUACCGUAAGUUCACCAUAUGGUCCUCAUGGUUUCCUCGGUUAAGAUGGAACUCUUUUGGGUAAACCAACAUGAAGGCAAAGAGAACCAUUAGGAUCUCGACUGAAUCCUUCCCUCGGUCCACAAAGUCGCCAUUGAACACAUAGGCCCGCUCUGGUGAUGGGAGGCCGUUCUUCCCAACGAGGAGUCAAGUCCAAGAAGAAGCAGCGGGAGGAAGGAAACAGGAAAUCGGGUCAAGCCAUUGUGCCUCUGACAGUCACAUCAGGCCUGAAAGCCAGUGCUGUGCUGUCUGGCUCUUUUCCAAAUGGGAAAUUUCAGUAAAAGAUGGAAAUAUUGGGAAUACUUUCUGUUGGUCUCAUAUUUCCUCUCUAGCCAGGCUGAGGUUAUGACAUGCUCACCAAAAUAAAUGUGUUCAUUAUCCAAACCUUGCCAGGUGGUUUGUGCCAAGGGCACUGAACUUGUAAUUCCAAGGCUCGUUUUAAGUUCUGGCCACUCUGUCUCUAACUGGCAAUAAUAAUACUAGCUGCCAUACAUUUCUCAGGAUUUAACAAGACAAUACAUCAGAAAAUGCUUUGUGUUAAUUACAUUAGUGGAAUAUUUAUCACUAUGCAGAGCAUUUGGUAACUAAAAAUAGGUAUGAUAAUGGCUUUUAGUUGCUUUGAUAAUAAAUAAUUUUCUCUAUUUAGUACUUGAUUUUCUUUUUUUCAAAUAAUGAUUUUAUUAACCAUAGAUUUUCUCUUUUUUAAACAGUCUACAAUGGGAACACAUGUAAAUCCAUGGCUGAUUCAUGUCAAUGUAUGGCAAAAACCACUACAAUAUUGUAAAGUAAUUAGCCUCUAACUAAUAAAAAUAAAUGAAAAAAAAAAAAGAAAAAAAAUAAACAGUCUACAAAAAUACACUACAAUAUAAUGCAAUAAUCAUUUUUACAUUCUGCAUUUGCUACAUAGUAGCAAAUAUUACUCUAAAAUAUUUUAAAAUACAAGUAAUACUUAAGCAUUUUUUAAUAGAUACUGUAUGUGAACUUCUAAAUUAAACCUCAGAACAAGACAGGAACAUAAUUUGAGGGUUCAUACCUUAUAAAAUAUAAAUAUUAAGUCAUCCAACUGGCCAUGUAAAUCUCCUAACAAAGAAAAAAUAUCAGUUUUGAUUGAUCUUCACCAUUGUUUCUAAUUUUUACUAUAAAAAAAUACUCAUUGUAUACCUAAAACUAAUGCAAUAUUAUGUCAGCUGUAACUCAAUUUAAAUAAAAAUA